ensembl:snoRNA
CACCAAAGUGUUGAGCCUUAUCCAGGGCAGCUUCCCUGUUCUAGUAAUUAAACUUUGGGACACUAAGGUAUCAGCUGGGGAAGUUGAUUGGGUAGAAGGUAUUUCUCUAUGCAUUUCCCUCUUAGCCUACACAA